UGCAGUCGAGCGACAGACAAGGAGCUUGCUCCUUUGACGUUAGCGGCGGACGGGUGAGUAACACGUGGGUAACCUACCUAUAAGACUGGGAUAACUUCGGGAAACCGGAGCUAAUACCGGAUAAUAUUUCGAACCGCAUGGUUCGAUAGUGAAAGAUGGUUUUGCUAUCACUUAUAGAUGGACCCGCGCCGUAUUAGCUAGUUGGUAAGGUAACGGCUUACCAAGGCGACGAUACGUAGCCGACCUGAGAGGGUGAUCGGCCACACUGGAACUGAGACACGGUCCAGACUCCUACGGGAGGCAGCAGUAGGGAAUCUUCCGCAAUGGGCGAAAGCCUGACGGA
rnacentral:rRNA from 1 species